GAUGAAGAACGUAGCGAAAUGCGAUAAGUAAUGUGAAUUGCAGAAUUCAGUGAAUCAUCGAAUCUUUGAACGCACAUUGCGCCCGCCAGUAUUCUGGCGGGCAUGCCUGUUCGAGCGUCAUUUCAACCAUCAAGCCCCCGGCUUGUGUUGGGGACCUGCGGCUGCCGCAGGCCCUGAAAAGCAGUGGCGGGCUCGCUGUCACACCGAGCGUAGUAGCAUACAUCUCGCUCUGGGCGUGCUUCGGGUUCCGGCCGUUAAACCACCUUCAUAACCCAAGGUUGACCUCGGAUCAGGUAGGAAGACCCGCUGAACUUAAGCAUAUCAAUAAGCGGAGGA
rnacentral:misc_RNA from 1 species